CUUCCCCACUGGUAGCCAGCUCUUAAAUAGGCCUAGAAGAGGUGCAGCCAGGCUCCACCCCUUCCAGCAGCACAGCUGAAUUGCCUUCACCUGUGCUCCUCUGGCUGGCUCAGUGCUCGCCUCAGGUGAUCCAUCAGAGGUUCAGGCCGUGACUCAGCAGUUCCCAUACAGUCAUCCUACAGAGCUUCAACAACUCUUCCCCUACAGUUUCACGAAGAAAAGUGGGUGAUAAUGUGUUGAUCUGAAUGUCAGCUAUAAUUCCCCUCUUCCCACAGAUGUCAUGCAAACAUUCUAUUAUCUUUCUCCUUGUAUUCAUUCCAUGAUAAUAUUCUGUUCUGCUGCCAAUUCAUUAUAGAAGUCUCUGGUUUCAUAACUUGUGACUGUGGAGGGCAGCUGAAACCUCUCCCAAACUGCUACCUCAAGAUUGUGAUGCACAAUUUUAUCUCAAGAUAUCUCCUAGGAUUACAGUAAAGGAUUUGUUGCUAAAACUCCCUCCAUCAUCAAACACUUGAGAACAAUCACAGAAAAAUUGUAUGUGUGCUCUCUGAGAAAUUGCUUUCCCAUUGUGCCAAUGUGACUGAUAGACACUCUGGUUGUACAGGACACUCAUUCCAUCACAUCUCAAGAGAUCUACCUUCUAAGGAAAUCUGGACUCGACUGAUGUAUCACUCCUUUUCGUGGAAUUUCAGGUGCAGAACUCUUCUCUCUGUCUGCCCCUUUCUCUCUGUCUUCUCUUGCUGUUAAACAAUGACUGCAGGCAGACUAAAAGUAAUAUUUAUAAACUCUGUUGUAAUCAUUUGCCAGACUCAAUAUUUCAUCCAGCACAGCUGUUUUACUCCCCCAUUACAUACACCAGAUGCUGUAAUACUGUUCCUAAUUUAAGUGAGGGGUGUUCAGCUAAAGGCUGCUGCAGGUUCCCAUGCCAUAGAGCACUGACUUGCAGCUCAGUAGCACAUCUCUCCAGUAAACACCUCUGCAUGGGAACUGCUGAAUCACAGCCUGAACCAAUUGACAACCUGAGAUGAGCAAAAAGUCAGCCCUGGGAGCAGGUGAAGGCCUUGCUCCACCUCUCCAAGACACCUUUUAAGAGCUGACUCCCAGGGGGGAAGGAUUUCUUUUAGAGAUUGCUCCUCUUUGAGUCUUCUCAGUGAACCCAGGACAAGGAAAGAAAGGCUCCAAUGCAGUUCUGCAUAAAAGGCAAAAAGCACAUUUUCCCCUGAAACGUGGACCACAGCUGGAAGCACUACUGUCCUUCAAGCAAAGAUUCCAAGCUGAGUUCACCAAACCCCAAAAGGAGGGAACUGUAAAAUAUAAAGCAAGUGCAAGUUCAAGAAAAGUCUGGAAAGCCUAGAGAGAUCGACACAAGGCAGACAGCCAGAUAUCAUUGAACCGGGGAAUGCCUCAAUAUCCUCCUGGAAGUGAAAGGAAGUACAGCUCAGAAGGUGCUUAUCUUCCCCAAGGAGUCUGCUUCUGGUCACUGUUCAUAGCACAAGAUGAAGUCAAGGUGAGACAGUGAAAUUCUUUGUGUUACGCUAAGAUUGGAACUUCCUCUUGUAAGAGCACAGAUUUUCUGAAUUUAAGUUACUCCAGAGUCUGUGAGCUUAAACACGAAGAGUCAACUUAUUAAUGCAGCAGUUCCUUGUUUAUACAUUUAAGCUUUAACAUCAGCCCUGGCAACAGCAUAAAACACAAUCAAAUUGUAUUUGUGCAGUGAUUAUUCUUGUCCUGUGUAAUUACUGGUCCCUCAGAUAAAAUCUCAAGCUACUUUAUUGAAGCUGGGAAUUGAAACCACAGAGAGAAUCGGCUAUCUAUGUACAUCAAUAAAGCGGUCCAUUAAUUAUUUCCACCUACUCAACUUGAAGAAAAUUACCAUACUAAUGCCUCUGGGUAACCACAUGACCUGCUCUGCUUCUCCAUAACAGCUAAACGUAAAGUCAUAAAGGCUCUGAGAGAUAAAUCGGGGACACUAAAGAAAUGGCAGCAUAGAAUGGCAUUCAUGGAAGUAAUUGGUCACAGAAAUCUCCAGACAGCAUUAACAUCAGACAGAAUCACAAUGCCUUCAAACUUCAGAACUGAAAGUAUUCCGAUUUCUUUUCAACAAGCAGAAAGUUAAUAGCUGAAAUAUAUCACCAAGAAUUAGACAGCAUCUCAUUAUUCAAAAUGUGAUGAAAAGUAAAAAUUUUCACCAAUCAAUCUUGAAACAUUUCAGAAAGUAAAAAUCGAACAGAGGUCACCGGCAGCGGAUCACGUAUGAGUAGUUUCAUACUGGUCUGUUCAAAUGCCAUCUUCCUUGAUGGAAUCCCUUGAAGGACUCUCAAUGACAGAAAAAGUUCACAGCUGCAUUGGCAAACCAAGGGGGAAAAAACAACAGAAGGGGCACGGAAGGGGUUAAGAUUCUGGAAAUACACUUUCUUUCCAGAAGUGUUUAUUUUUUUGCUGUACGUUUAAUACAAGCACCCUGCAAUGCCUUUCUCAAUUUUCCUUUUAAAUUAUAGCCGCUCAAUUCUGCCUAAUUAAGCAUUUUCUUUAAUGAUAAGGGUAUUGCCUGAGAAGAGGUAUUUAGUGAUCACAAUUAGUGACCUUUAAGCCUGCAAGGCGUUUGCUUAUUUUCAUAUAAAUAUUUGGGAUACCAGCAUAGAAAACAGCAUUAUUUUCUUUGUUGGCUCUGAUUAAAAUAGACUGAUUCACAUUCAUAAACUAUGCUAAUCAUAAAAUAAACAGCAGUUAUACUAUAGUAUGUAAUUGGAUUUUAUGUGCCACAGUGUGGUCAGUUAAUGCAUACAAUAAAGCUGAAGAAUCAGGCGGUACUUUAAUCUUUCCUGAAAAACGGAUCAGCUGCUAUAGGUGAUUUUCACAUCUCUCAUGUAUCUGCAGGCACAGUCCUAUCCAACUCCAAGACUGAGCAACUCCAGGGCUCAGCUCCACUGUCCCUCUAGAGCCAUUGGUGCCACCACUUUGGCAGUGUAAUGUACUUCUUUCUUCAC